AACGUAGGGGGCGAGCGUUGUCCGGAAUCACUGGGCGUAAAGGGCGCGCAGGCGGUCGAUUAAGUCUGGUGUCAAAGCCCACGGCUUAACCGUGGAGGGGCACUGGAAACUGGUUGACUUGAGUGCAGGAGAGGGAAGCGGAAUUCCACGUGUAGCGGUGAAAUGCGUAGAGAUGUGGAGGAACACCAGUGGCGAAGGCGGCUUUCUGGCCUGGCACUGACGCUGAGGCGCGAAAGCGUGGGUAGCGAAC
rnacentral:rRNA from 1 species